GACGAACGCUGGCGGCGUGCUUAACACAUGCAAGUCGAACGGAAAGGCCCUGCUUUUGUGGGGUGCUCGAGUGGCGAACGGGUGAGUAACUCGUGAGUAACCUGCCCUUGACUUUGGGAUAACUUCAGGAAACUGGGGCUAAUACCGGAUAGGAGCUCCUGCUGCAUGGUGGGGGUUGGAAAGUUUCGGCGGUUGGGGAUGGACUCGCGGCUUAUCAGCUUGUUGGUGGGGUAGUGGCUUACCAAGGCUUUGACGGGUAGCCGGCCUGAGAGGGUGACCGGCCACACUGGGACUGAGAUACGGCCCAGACUCCUACGGGAGGCAGCAGUGGGGAAUAUUGCACAAUGGGCGGAAGCCUGAUGCAGCAACGCCGCGUGCGGGAUGACGGCCUUCGGGUUGUAAACCGCUUUCGCCUGUGACGAAGCGUGAGUGACGGUAAUGGGUAAAGAAGCACCGGCUAACUACGUG
rnacentral:rRNA from 1 species